UUUUUAAUCUCUGUAACAACAACAAUCCGCCUCAUAUUCAUAGUAAGCAGCAUAAUAAAAGUUAAACCUCAUCUCUCUCCCUCUCUCUCCCUUGUGUUUACAUUUAAUGCUCCGUUUCAGAUAUAGGCUCAAGCUCAUGUCUUUUACCUGAUUUCUCAGUUUUCCUUUUUGUUGGGGUUCCACACCCAUUUUUAAUUGCUUUUGCUGAAUGUUAAUGCUGUGAACUAAAGGACAAUACAAUACAGUCAAAACUCCAACUGCAGCCGGAACGCAUUCAAUACUAUUUCAUGGCAACAACUACAACUACAAAACCAUCAUCUGCUCAGCUCAAAGUCCAAGUCCAACCCACCAAGCCUAAACGCCGCAAGUGUAAAGAAACCACCAUUUCUUCCUCCGUUGCUGUUGCUUCCACCACUGGUAACGACUCCUCUGAGUUGGAUUUUCACGGAGUUUUAAGCCGGAAACUCGACUCGCCCACCUUUGUUUCCCCUGAUAGCUCUUGGUGCUGUCCCGCUGCGAAACCCCUCCCAACUCCCCCUCCUUCUCCACCUCCGCUUCCGCCGCAAACUCGCCGUGUUGGGGACCAAGGGUUUACUGAUUCUUUGUCGGGUUUCAGGAUCCGAUAUUCUCCGGGAAGUGUGCUACCUGUCAUGGACUUCACGGGCGGAACAAUGCUCUCCAAUGGUCAUUCUCCGUCGAGUUUCAACAAGUUCAACUCUGCCCUCACGGCGGGUCUCUUAAACCCGAUGUCCCCUCCGCCUCCAGCGGACAAGAUACGGUCCAGCCCCACCCUUUUCGAAAUGAUGGCUAGCGAGCCCGAUAUCCAUCAAAGAACCCAAAACCAAACUCAGAUCCAAGUUUCGACUUCAGCUCCAAGACAAAACCAACCCCCGCCUGUUAUAGAUAAGCAGGUAUUGACCAUGCAACGAAUUUCGUAUCUUUUGUCGACUCGGAGCCCCGGGAACCAGUUUAACGAGCCGGGUUCGAGUGAUAUAAAGCUGACCUUGAGUUCCAAGGAUGGGCUCAGCGUGUCAUUGAACGUGCACCGGCAAAUACUAGUGGCUCACAGUAGGUUUUUUGCGGUGAGGUUAUCGGAUCGAUGGACAAUGCAGCAGAGGAAUGGAUCAGCUGGGCCGUACAUUGUGGAAAUAGCGGAUUGUGAUGACGUUGAGGUUUAUAUAGAGACCUUGAGAUUGAUGUAUUGUAAAGAUUUGAGGAAGAAACUAAUGAGAGAGGACGUGUCUAAGGUUCUUGGAAUUUUGAAGGUUUCAGCGGCAAUUGGAUUUGAUGCUGGGGUUUUGUCGUGUUUGGAGUACUUGGAAGCCGCCCCUUGGGCUGAGGAUGAAGAAGAGAAAGUAGCUUCUUUGUUGGCAGAGCUCCACCUCGAAAACGUUGGAGCUGGGGACGUUUUGAAGAGGGUUUCUGUUGAAGUUACUAAUGGAACUGAUGAGGGUGAUGAUAAUGAACAAGUGCUUCUCAAGCUUAUGAAUGUGGUUCUUGAAGGCAAAGAUGAGAAAGCAAGGUGUGAAAUGAAACGGUUGGUCUUUAAGAUGCUUAAGGAGAAUUCAUCUCAUAAUGAUCUCCGGAAAGAGUCUUUAUAUUCAGCUUCUGAUGGCUGUUUGGAACUGCUUCGGUACCAUUUUAUUCGAGCAGCAUCAGCUGAUUUGCAGGAUGCGAGUCAGAUUGCAAGACAAGCAAAUAAUUUGCACUGGAUCUUGGACAUUUUGAUUGAUAGACAGAUUGCUGAAGAUUUUCUAAAAACAUGGGCUUCUCAAUCUGAAUUAUCUGAUGCUCAUUCUAAAGUUCCAGUUGUCCAUAGGUUUGAAGUUAGCAGAGUUACUGCACGGCUAUUUGUAGGAAUUGGGAAGGGGCAGUUAUUGGCAUCAAAGGAAGUAAGGUGCCUGCUUUUGCAAACAUGGUUGGUUCCAUUUUACGAUGAUUUCGGGUGGAUGAGAAGGGCAUCGAAAGGCCUUGAUAGACAUUUAAUCGAGGAUGGUCUUAGCAACACAAUUCUCACUUUGCCUUUGGCUUGGCAGCAGGAAAUUUUGCUCGCAUGGUUUGAUAGGUUCUUGAACUCCGGUGAAGAUUGUCCCAACAUUCAAAAAGGUUUCGAAGUUUGGUGGAGGAGGGUUUUUUGGCGACGUGGUCGUGAAGGAGAACAACCAAGGCCAGUACGAGUUGCAACGGCAACCAUUGAGAACUCAUAAAGUUCCUAUGUCCAUGGUGCAGAACCAGUGGUGCACUUUAAUGGGUCUGUUGUUCUCAUUUUCACAAUGGUUUGGUCUUCAUUCUACACCAAUGGCUCAUUUAUUUUCUUCUUCCUCUCUAAACUGUGGCUCACAAUCGUGUGGAGUACUCGAGUUCUCGUAUGUAGAAUGCCGAGCAUCCUGUUAGAGAGAAGAGGACACUACUUUUGGUGGGUUGAUGAUGUGAG